rnacentral:rRNA from 1 species
AAACCGUUGGAAGGGAAGCGAAUGGAGUCGGCAAUUCCCCUGUUCAGAUUCAACCCCCCGCUUACUGCGACGUGCUAUCUCGCGACCUGUCGCCAGGCGUGGUUCGUGCGGCCGCAGUUCGCAGGUGGUGCACUUCCGCCAGGCGAGUGUCAACGUCAGUCAACGGCGAGCAAAGGGGCCGCGAGUACGGUAGGUCCUUCGGGGCCGGUAAGUUUCGCGUGCACGUGGCUCCCACUAGACUUUCUUCUGUCCCAGUGUGUGCCGCCCGCCUUUCGCGGGGGGCGGCUGCUGCCUUUGUCGUUGGUCUGGUGAUGCUGUCGAGCGGACGGCUUCGCCUGUGCGUUCGUAGCGCCGCUGACCAUCGGGCAGAGAACGCAGACACGACGCGCUGAGGACGUUGAUCGCCUUACGUCUCCAUCCGACCCGUCUUGAAACACGGACCAAGGAGUCUAACAUGUGCGCAAGUCUCAGGGUGAUCGAAACCCGUGGGCUCAAUGAAAGUGAAUGCGGCCUCGGCUGCAGAGAUGAGAAGCAAGCGGAUUCGUUUCCGUCGCGCUACAUCAUCGACCGACCUAUUUUACUCUUAGAAAGGUUUGAGUUAGAGCGUGCCUGUUGGGACCCGAAAGAUGGUGAACUAUGCCUGAAUAGGGCGAAGCCAGCGGAAACACUGGUGGAAGCUCGUAGCGUUUCUGACGUGCAAAUCGAUCGUCGAAUUUGGGUAUAGCGGCGAAAGACUAAUCGAACCAUCUAGUAGCUGGUUCCCUCCGAAGUUCUCACAGGAUAGCUGGAACUCGGAU